rnacentral:rRNA from 1 species
GGUUAAGCGACUAAGCGUACACGGUGGAUGCCCUGGCAGUCAGAGGCGAUGAAGGGCGUGCUAAUCUGCGAUAAGCGCCGGUAAGGUGAUAUGAACCGUUAUAACCGGCGAUACCCGAAUGGGGAAACCCAGUGUGACUCGUCACACUAUCAUUAACUGAAUCCAUAGGUUAAUGAGGCGAACCGGGGGAACUGAAACAUCUAAGUACCCCGAGGAAAAG